AAUAUUGCACAAUGGAGGGAACUCUGAUGCAGCAACGCCGCGCGAGUGAAGAAGGUUUUCGGAUCGUAAAACUCUGUCAUUGGGGAAGAAUAAAUGACGGUACCCAAGGAGGAAGCCCCGGCUAACUACGUGCCAGCAGCCGCGGUAAUACGUAGGGGGCAAGCGUUGUCCGGAAUUACUGGGCGUAAAGGGUGCGUAGGCGGCAUAUCAAGUCAGGUGUGAAACCCCACGGCUCAACUGUGGGCUUGCACAUGAAACUGGUAUGCUUGAGUGCAGGAGAGGAAAGUGGAAUUCCUAGUGUAGUGGUGAAAUGCGUAGAGAUUAGGAAGAACACCAGUGGCGAAGGCGACUUUCUGGACUGUAACUGACGCUGAGGCACGAAAGCGUGGGGAGCAAACA
rnacentral:rRNA from 1 species